ACGGGUGAGUAAUACGUAGGAAUCUACCUUAAAGAGGGGGACAACCAAGGGAAACUUUGGCUAAUACCGCAUAAUCUCGCAAGAGUAAAGGUGCCUAGCAAUAGGUGUCGCUUUAAGAGGAGCCUGCGUCCGAUUAGCUAGUUGGUAGGGUAAAAGCCUACCAAGGCUGUGAUCGGUAACUGGUCUGAGAGGACGACCAGUCACACUGGGACUGAGACACGGCCCAGACUCCUACGGGAGGCAGCAGUGGGGAAUAUUGGACAAUGGGGGCAACCCUGAUCCAGCGAUGCCGCGUGGGUGAAGAAGGCCUUCGGGUUGUAAAGCCCUUUAGGUUGGGAAGAAGGUUAGUCGGGGAUAAUCCGAUUAAUUUGACGGUACCGACAGAAUAAGCACCGGCAAACUCUGUGCCAGCAGCCGCGGUAAUACAGAGGGUGCGAGCGUUGAUCGGAAUUACUGGGCGUAAAGGGCGCGUAGGCGGUAAGAUGUGUGUGAUGUGAAAGCCCCGGGCUUAACCUGGGAAGUGCAUUGCAAACUAUCUCACUAGAGUAUAUGAGAGGGUGGCGGAAUUUCCGGU
rnacentral:rRNA from 1 species